AAUAAAUAUACGCACAUGUAUAUAUAUAUAUAUAUUUUUGGUCAGAAAGUAAAAAUAUAAUAAAUAGUAUCAACCGGUUGUCUGACUUCAUCUUCUUCCCGCGAAAAACCAAGAUUCCAGAAACCGCCUAAAAAAAUAAAAAAAAAAACAAAAUUACUGAAAAUGAAACGUUGAUUUGAAAAGGACAAGAAAAAUGUUCUUCUUCAACAAGAAACCAAAAAGACCUUCUCUUUCUUCUUCUCACUUCAUGGCUCCUUCUCUCUCUUCUCUCCUUCUCCCCCAUUCCUCUCCUGUUUACCCUCUCAUUCCCAACCCUAACAUAGCCCACAGAUUCAUCCCCCCUCCACGCAUCCAAACCCUAAUCCUCU
rnacentral:lncRNA from 1 species